GGCGCAGCAGUCGGGAAUUUUGGGCAAUGGGCGAAAGCCUGACCCAGCAACGCCGCGUGAAGGAUGAAGUAUUUCGGUAUGUAAACUUCGAAAGAAUAGGAAGAAUAAAUGACGGUACUAUUUAUAAGGUCCGGCUAACUACGUGCCAGCAGCCGCGGUAAUACGUAGGGACCAAGCGUUGUUCGGAUUUACUGGGCGUAAAGGGCGCGUAGGCGGUGUUGUAAGUCACUUGUGAAAUCUCUGAGCUUAACUCAGAACGGCCAAGUGAUACUGCAGUACUAGAGUGCGGAAGGGGCAAUCGGAAUUCUUGGUGUAGCGGUGAAAUGCGUAGAUAUCAAGAGGAACACCUGAGGUGAAGACGGGUUGCUGGGCCGACACUGACGCUGAUGCGCGAAAGCCAGGGGAGCAAACGGGAUUAGAUACCCCGGUAGUCC
rnacentral:rRNA from 1 species